UACGUAGGGUGCGAGCGUUAAUCGGAAUUACUGGGCGUAAAGGAUGCGUAGGCGGACAUUUAAGUCAGAUGUGAAAUACCCGGGCUCAACUUGGGUGCUGCAUUUGAAACUGGGUGUCUAGAGUGCAGGAGAGGAAAGCGGAAUUCCUAGUGUAGCGGUGAAAUGCGUAGAGAUUAGGAAGAACACCAGUGGCGAAGGCGGCUUUCUGGACUGUAACUGACGCUGAGGCAUGAAAGCGUGGGGAGCAAACAGG
rnacentral:rRNA from 1 species